rnacentral:rRNA from 1 species
UGGGGAAUAUUGCGCAAUGGGCGAAAGCCUGACGCAGCCACGCCGCGUGAGCGAUGAAGGUCUUAGGAUCGUAAAGCUCUGUGGAGGGAGAAGAAUAAAGCCAGUGAAGAGCUGGCCUUGACGGUAUCCCUUUAGCAAGCACCGGCUAACUCCGUGCCAGCAGCCGCGGUAAUACGGAGGGUGCAAGCGUUAAUCGGAAUUACUGGGCGUAAAGCGCGCGUAGGUGGUUUUGUAAGUUGGAUGUGAAAUCCCCGGGCUCAACCUGGGAACUGCAUUCAAAACUGCAAGGCUUGAGUAUGGUAGAGGCAAGUGGAAUUCCAGGUGUAGCGGUGAAAUGCGUAGAUAUCUGGAGGAACAUCAGUGGCGAAGGCGACUUGCUGGAUCAAUACUGACACUGAGGUGCGAAAGCGUGGGUAGCAAACAGGAUUAGAUACCCUGGUAGUCCACGCGGUAAACGAUGUCAACUAGUUGUUGGGUUCAUUUAAGAACUUAGUGACGCAGCUAACGCGUUAAGUUGACCGCCUGGGGAGUACGGUCGCAAGAUUA